AUGUUGAAAAAUACAACAGCUUGCACGGAGAACUGAGAAGACAGAAGGACGGUGUCGGACCGUAGCGUAUUCACUGGUCAGCGAGGCGAUGCCCGUGAUCUCUCCUGACGGUGGUUCAGUGUUUGUGAAGUCGAUGGAGGAAUAAUGAAGAGAUUCUGGUGAACUCGGUGCGGUGGAUGACAGCAUGCCUUUAUUGCCGUAAACAAACUGGCCGUCAUUAUCCAGAGCAACGGCCUGAUGGAGAAGAAACGGCAAAAUGAGUGGAGAAGAUCUGCUGAACCACUGGCAUUUGUACACACCGUUCACAGCAGAGCAUCACGAUGCACACGAUCAUCAUCACUGACGCGCCGACAGCAGCUCCGAGCAGCACCGACAGAAGUUGGAAACCUGGAAAGCAGUGUUUAAUUGCUCAGAGGAAAGCCAUCAUCUGUAAUGUAAGACACCUAAAACAGUUACAGGGAGACAGGAAGGACAGCAGAAGAAGAAGUUGAAAGUGAGAGGAUGUCUUUUGUUUAUAUGCAGUACUGGUCAAAAGUCACACUAUACAUUACUAUUAGUAUUAGAUUUAUUACUAUUAGACACAUUACUAUUUUUAAUGUUUUUAAAAGAUGUCUCUUAUGCUCAUCAAGCCUCCAUUUUAUUUGAUCAAAAAUACAGACAAAAACAGUAAUAUUGUGAAAUAUUAUUACAUUUUAAAAUAAUGGUUUUGUUUUCAUAUUCUUUAUAUUUAUUUCUAUGAUGCAAAGCUGAAUUUUCAUCAGCCUUUACGAGAGAGAGCAGGCGCAAAUCCUGGCAGUGGCAGGUCGUAGCGCCACUUCCGGUGGCAUAGCCAGAGUUCGUGGCAGAUGCCACGGUUUUUUCGCCGUUUCUGCUGCUGUUUGAAACUACACUGUUCAUAGUGGCGAUCGAUGGUGUUUUUAUAAUGCAAAGUUCCCACAGGUGUGUUAUUAUUAUUUAUUAUUAUAAUACAUUUUUAUGUAUCAGCUGCCAGAGUUCGUGUCAGGAGUCACGAUCGUUUAUCGCUGUAGGCUACUGUAAACUACAGUUUUAUUUUUAAAUAAAAGAUUUGAUUAUGCAUAUUACAUACCAGCAAGCAGAUGCAACCAGAAUAUGAACCCAAUGAGCUAAAUUGCAUAAGCAUUUUCCCCAUAAAGAACACACAAGGAGUGCUUAGCUGUAUAGACAGUAUAUAUGCACGUGUAUAGCCUACACAGGUGCGUAGCCAUAAUUUCAGAAGUGAGUGGGACAAAUGUAUAUACUGUACAUAGGCUACUGUUUAUAAGAAUAUAGGAAACUUGAUUUUUUUUCUCUUAUGUCUUUCUUUUAAUUGGCUUAGAAAUCAGAUACACUGUUGAACAAUGACCAAUAAAUGAUUUGUUAAUGUACUACAAACACGUUUUUUUUUUUCUUCAUUUUUAUCACAUAUAAGACAGAAUAGUUUCUGUACUGUAAUAAAUGCUAUGUCAGGUAGCACUGAAUUUUUCAUAAACUUUAUUUAUUACCUGGAGAUGGUUGGGAAAAAAAGCACAAAUAAACCAUAUAUUGUCGCAAUCGUGUGUUUAAUGUCUUCACGUUUCCAAAGGUUUCUGCUUUUUAUUCAGAUUAUACAGUGAUAGAUGGACGCUUUUGUCCAUAUUAGGGAUUUCCUGGUACUUUGUUAGUUAUUACUUCAAUUAGAGUCUGUCUUGCACUUUCUGCGGCCUCCGGCUUCGUGUUGUCACAUUUCCCUGGUUAAAUAAACAUUACAUUAAAAAGGCCAAAUACAAUGAUAUUUUGUAUUUUUACACUGUGUAAUAUUCUGUUUAUCAAAACCAAUAAAUGUCAUCAAGUUAGUGUUUUUAAGUAUUUUAAAAUUUAUUCCAGAAUAAUAAUAAAAGGCAGUAACAAUACAAACAUUUUAUUUGUCAACUGAUGUCCAGCUGUUCUUUUUAAGUUUACCAGCGGGUGUCGCUGUUGGACAGAAUUACUUUAUAAAAACUAGUGACUUUUACACUUUUUAAUGUCAUAUUUUGUAAUACUUGCAUUGAUUUAUUUUUGUAAUAUCGAUCAUUUUCUCAUCCAAUUUCUUUUUCUCUGAAGAGACUCUGCCUCCCUUGCCUUGACUGAUGGCAGGCAACGACUGAUAACAGAAGCCGUACAACACAAACAUCAGAAAUUCAGUAAUCUUAAAUUAUGAUCCUUGCGGGUUUGAGGUUAUGCAAAUUUUGGCAGGUUAUUUUACAUUCAUUUCAUGCAUGCAAAUUAAUAAAGUGAUGAAUGGAAAUUGGGCAGUUCAAUUAAGUAUAGAAUUUUUGUAAUAGCUACAAAAAUUAAAAUGGACAAAUGUGGGAUCACAGAGAAAUGACAUGUUUUUUUAUUACCAUUUGUAGGCUAUAGCCACGGUUUUUACAACAAAUAGCAUGCUUUUUGUAUGGUGAGUGUAGCAAAAUGUUUUAUUUGUUGCAAAACGAUGUGUAGUUUUCGUACGUUUUGUUGUAAACAAUUUUUACUGUUAUUUUAUAAUGAAAACGGAAGUAAUGUAUUUAUGAUAUUUAUAGAAAGCAUUUAUUGUUAGAAAAUAUCAUUUAUGUCAUGUACUGUAAAUGCUCUAGGCCUACAUGUUUGAGGCGUUAAUUGUAACAUUUGUAUAUACACCAAAUAUUUUGACCAUACUUUCUUCUUUCACAGCAGGAAAACAUUUUUUGAGAGACACCAGGACUGCAGCUGACUGGUGCGGUAACAGAAAUUGGAAUGGAUUUUUAUUUUUAUAAAAAAAUUGAUGAUGCAUACUACAUACCAACAAGCAGAUGAGUGUCAAAUUAAAUCCCUACACAAAGCUGCGUGGGCAGAAAGUUCUCCGGUGGAACUUUUUACUUCUGUAUUUUGGGAAAAAAAUGAUUAUGAGGUGUUCUGCACAGAAAUGAUUGAUAAAUCAAAGUGUAAAAUCUUUGCCAGAUUCGAGGAAGAAUAAGUCAUCCUUCAGGAUCAUAAAAAAAUCAAUCAAUGAUCAAUACAAAAUCAAUAAAAACUUGAGUGUCUCAAUUAAAAUGGUCUCAAGAUUAUAUCAAUAUAUAUUGUAAUUUUUGUGUAAAUAUUUGGCUCCGAUUCUCACUAUUAACUAUUGACUUUUCCCUCAAUAAACUCCUAAUUAGCCUACUGUUCAGGUAUAGGGUAAGAUGUAGAAUAUGAUCACGUAUAAUAUGGCAUUAGUAUGUGCUUUAUGAGUGCUAAUAUAGUAAUAUGCAAGCAGCUGCACUCCUUAUCUGUGUGUAUGUUCUUUAUGGGGAAAAUACUUAUGCAAUUUAGCUUAUUGGGUUCAUAUUCUGAUCGCAUCUGCUUACUGGUAUAUAAUAUGCAUAAUCAAAUCUUUUAUUUAAAAAUAAACAGCGACAAACGAUCGUGACUCCUGGCACGAACUCUGG